rnacentral:rRNA from 1 species
GCUCGAGUGGCGAACGGGUGAGUAACACGUGAGUAACCUGCCCUUGACUUUGGGAUAACUUCAGGAAACUGGGGCUAAUACCGGAUAGGAGCUCCUGCUGCAUGGUGGGGGUUGGAAAGUUUCGGCGGUUGGGGAUGGACUCGCGGCUUAUCAGCUUGUUGGUGGGGUAGUGGCUUACCAAGGCUUUGACGGGUAGCCGGCCUCGAGAGGGUGACCGGCCACAUUGGGACUGAGAUACGGCCCAG